rnacentral:rRNA from 1 species
UCUCGGCAAAAUAUCCUCAUAAGUUAGACGAUAUGAAGAACCACUGGAUGCUAUUACUCCGUCCCCAAUGGGGCUUGUUUUAUUAAGGUUAGCUUUAAUAAGAUAGAAUUUUCAUAAGCUUAGCAAUAGUUAAGUUUAUAUAAGGAAGUGUAAACCUCCCCUUUAGUUUUUGUGGCGUAUGCCACAAUAUUUCUAUAGGCUAGGUUGCUUUGUGUAUCACCAUUUUGGUAAUCCAGGGCCUUAGUAGCAUUUAAGUGGUGGCACAGAAUCGGAGGCCCCGACUGUUUACUUAAAACACAGCUUUCUGCGACGAAUAAUAUCUUUGUAUAGAAAGCGAAUUUUGCCCAAUGCCAUUAAUAUAAGGUCGAUAAGCGCUUAGCGUAAUUAUUGGCUGAAGUUCUGGUCAAUGGCGGUCUUAUCUAUGAGGAUCCUAAGGUAGCAAAAUUAAUUGUCCAUUAAAUGUGGUCCUGACUGAAUAAAGUAACGAUGGUCUCGCUGUCUCUACAAGUAUCUCAGUGAAAUUGAAUUAGCCGUGCAGAUGCGGUUUAACUUCGGGUAGACGGGAAGACCCUAUGCAG